rnacentral:rRNA from 1 species
AUUGAACGCUGGCGGCAUGCCUUACACAUGCAAGUCGAACGGUAACAGGUCUUCGGAUGCUGACGAGUGGCGAACGGGUGAGUAAUACAUCGGAACGUGCCCGAUCGUGGGGGAUAACGGAGCGAAAGCUUUGCUAAUACCGCAUACGAUCUACGGAUGAAAGCAGGGGACCGCAAGGCCUUGCGCGGACGGAGCGGCCGAUGGCAGAUUAGGUAGUUGGUGGGAUAAAAGCUUACCAAGCCGACGAUCUGUAGCUGGUCUGAGAGGACGACCAGCCACACUGGGACUGAGACACGGCCCAGACUCCUACGGGAGGCAGCAGUGGGGAAUUUUGGACAAUGGGCGAAAGCCUGAUCCAGCCAUGCCGCGUGCAGGAUGAAGGCCUUCGGGUUGUAAACUGCUUUUGUACGGAACGAAAAGACUCUUUCUAAUAAAGAGGGUCCAUGACGGUACCGGAAGAAUAAGCACCGGCUAACUACGUG